rnacentral:misc_RNA from 1 species
CAGUCACCAUAAGAGAAGAUCAUUCUCUCUUGAAGAAAGACGCGUGAGCCUGGGGUUGAACCAUUGUCUACCUAAACCUGUAAGGAGGUAGAAACAAACAAAAACAAACACUGAGGGAAAAACAAGGUCGAGCAGAUUAUCCUUCUCGAGGGCUGCCGAGGAAAGAGAAAUCGAUGUAAAAGAUUUAAAACUCGCUUGUAAAAUUAAUUAUCUUACAUCAUUUCCCCUCUACUAACAGGCUAUGAACGAAAUUACAAAUCGACAAGGUUUCGGAAGGGAAACGGAGUGGCUUCCGAGGUACAUUUGCAUAUUUCCCUGUGAUCAUUUAAACCUUGGAUAUGUCGAAAUAUUUCAAGUCUAAAGAUAGCAUUGUUAAGUAACUCUUCAUUUUUGUCAGUCAUUGGGAAUUCAGUUGUGUUAGCGAAAGUGCAGACGUCUUCAUUUCACUUUCAUUGUGUACUGUCAUGCAACGGACGCACCAUUGUCCUCCUUUUCGACUUUUCCCUCUCGCUCUGUUUCCAGAGUUUUUACAGUUCUUCAAACAUUUGCAGGAGCUCGUCGACCUUGGCAACCGGCAGGCCAAGGCUUAACAGUUCCGGAAAUGAUGAAAUGUUCAUUCGCAGUCAUUUUUUUUGAAUGUCACGCAACGGUCGACGGCACUAGACGACCCCCAGGGGGGUACUCGCAUAUAUGGUACGUGCCGCGGAAUAGGGUAUGGUUUUUGAGGUUCUCGGUCCUUAAAUAGAGUAUCUUUUUUUAC